rnacentral:misc_RNA from 1 species
UUUCCGUAGGUGAACCUGCGGAAGGAUCAUUAUUGUAUAACCGAGGUGCGAGGGCUGUCGCUGACCCGAAAGGUCGUGCACGCCCGAGUGCCCUCACACACAUCCAUCUCACCCCUAUGUGCACCACCGCGUGGGUCCCCCUUUGGCUUGUUCGGAGGGGGGCUUACGUUUUCACACAAACUUUGUAUGCAGUGUAGAAUGUAUUUUUUGUUUUUGCGAUCACGCAAUCAAUACAACUUUCAACACCGGAUCUCUUGGCUCUCGCAUCGACGAAGAACGCAGC